CUCCGCCCUCCCGCAAACCGCGCCUCGUGGAGAAAAUGCGUCGUCAAAGCAGCUCCACAGUCAACCUCACACACAGAGGCCUGCACACACCACCCAUGCCCUACAUCAAGCUUCGCCUCAACGUCCUGCAUCGCCGCGAUUUUUGUACACAGCGCGGCCUACUCUCUGCCCUGAAGCCACUCCUGCUAGGCUGCUUCCUCGCCGGCCCACGCCCACCCGCCCUUCCGCUUGCCCUCACGCCUGCACCCAUGCGACCGAUCUAAUGAUCUGCUGCCCAUGCCGGAGAAGUGGAGAACCUAACCGGGAGUCUGGGAUUAGGCAGGAACGAUCCGGUCCACCUCUCGCCACUUUGAUUGACGCAUAUGAUCUGGGAUGGAUGUGGUCCUCCAUCAACAAUGAAAAACAGGUCCUCAAACUGUCAGAUCCGAUGGUGGGAACCGUCGUUCCAGCCUCAGUUGCCACACUCCUCUCACCCGGAUGCAUUGGGUUGGAUGCCGCCGCCUUCCAACUGAACCCUUGAUGGUACUCCAUGAACUGUGUCGCCCAGGUCCUUCCUGAGUUUUCCCCGAGCUCCCGUCCAGGCGCCGCCGCUUCAGCGCACGAAUGUGCUUUGUAGGCCGAUGUUUGGUCCUUCAGGAAAACGCUUCUGGAUGUUCUAAGGAACUUACUGAAGACACCAGGAAGAUAAUAUUUUAGCCGAGGAUGUGAGAUGUUAUUUAUGGAUGAGUUACCGGAAUGCCAUUCUACAAUAUGAGCAUGAAUAAGCUCAGGAGAAUCCCAAUGGAGAAGCCAAUCACGACCCAACGGAGGAGCUAACUCGCAUAAGCUCUACAUGUCUGAAGCCAGAUACAGGUUUGUUAUGCUGCUCUUCCGAACCAGGGCGCCCAGCUUCACGUCGGACAUCAUCACACAGGUUUGUUAUUUCUGUAAAUGACGCUCAUAUUACUUUCCAUAGAAAGCAUUAGCAUGGAUGAGAUGCUAAUCAUACCUACAGUAUUGAUAUCUUGGCAACCAGAGGCAUCCGUUGCCAUACUGACAGAUAAAAUGCUACCGGACUUUAGCUCCAUGUUUUGUAGAGGCUUCUUACGCAGUGCUUAGCUGUCAGCACUAAUGGUGUUUUUACAACAAAAAUGCUAUGGUGGAUGCAUGUUUGUGUGAAUCAAGUCUUUAACCAAGAUGCAAAUUCGUUUCUAUGUUUAUUUUCACACGCAUUGCUUUUCUAAGAUAGCUCUCAUUUAUUUGUGAGUGGAUAGCCUGUAAUUUCCAUAUACAACUACAAAUUACAUAUGAACUUUUAGUAUAUUUCCCAAUUAAAAUUCCAAUUCAUUGCACUGUUGCCAUACUUUGUUAAUAUAACUUUAUAUUUUUAAAAGCUACCCAACUGUAGUCAUUUAGAUUGUCUUAAAGAUGCUAUUAACCAGAAACUUAUAUGGCUGAUAAGGAACCUUCCGCGCUUCAGUCUGACUUUAGUAACACUUUCAAAGGAAAACUGAUUAUAUGUCAUGCUACAUAAUCUGGGAACCUUUUAACUGUUAAACUGGUAGUUCAUUAAUCAUCUUUCAUCCAGCACAAAUGCAUUAUUUCUGCAUCAUCGAUAUGGAUCAACAAGGGUAGAUUAAUUGUCAUUCUUCUUAUUCACACUUUGAUCAUCAUGUAUCCUCCAUAGGAGCUAACUAUGUUAAUUCAUGUAUCUUUAUUAUUCUAAAAUUUGUAUGGCCCUGUUAUUCAGAAAAAUCACUAGAACAAGAACUAUGCAAUAUAUCUACAUAUUGUAUCAUUAAUUUGUAAAUUAUGCAGUGCUUAACUUGGAAUCUUUUUUCAAAUCUUCACACACAUGCCUUUAUAGCAACUACAUGAUAUCAUUUCGCUUACUAGGAUACACACUUCAAAUUUCCUACUUCCUGAAGGUUUUGAGUUGCUGACGAGCAUCUCAAUGACCUUUGAGGGACACAUUAUCGUUGCACAUCGGCACCCAGACUUGACGUCGCCAGAGGUGACAUCGGAUACAAAGAUCGACCAACGAAAGACGAUGUGUCUAGGCUAGGUGUUGGAGAACUCAAGGGAGAUGAAUGUGUGCUGAGGUGCCACUUGGCUGGAGGACUAAAAUAUGAUCCACUUGGCUGGAGAAGGGAGGAGUGGAGUAGGAGAAAGAUGUGGCAUUUUGCAGAUCGUGCUGCAACGUGGUUCUUCUCCUUUUCGCUUGACCAGUGAGUUUUUAAGCUCAACGAGCUUCUAGGAGGCUAAGCAUGUUCUAAAGACCUAUAAACGUGUAUCAUUUUUUCCAAAUAAAUUCGUCUAUCAUAUUUAUAAUUAUGAAUUUAUGAGUUCCUUUUUUGGCACCAAUUAUAAUUAUGAAAUUGCACAUUUUCAGUUUCUUAGUUUGGUGGUCCGUGAGAUGUUUUUAUCACAUCAAGUUAAAUAAGAAGAUCAAUUUAUUUAAUCUUUUACUUAAUUAUCUUGGAAGCCAUACAGGUCCUUGAUUUUUAUAUGGAAUUUCCUUUUCCUAGACUACAGGUGCAGCUUUGUACACUUAUCUUCCUAGGUUACAGUAGCAGCUAAGUAUGUUCUAACUGAAAAUUAUGAAAACGGAAGUUAUGCACAUCAGUAGGAAGAGGUAGAGAAGCAUCUAUGACCACAACAUGACAUUGUAAGUGUCAGUUAUCUCUCACACACAGUUCUUAUCUCUGCUGCAUUCAUGCAGAUAAAAAUGGUUGCCACAAGCUCUCAGCAACACAUGUGAUUCUGAAAAAGUUUGUUAAUAUUGGCAUUAUGUGAUAUUGGUUGAAUAUACAUUUACAUUGUUAUUGUAGGGAAUUAGCUGGAAUGUUUGUUUUUCUGGUAGUCCUCUGUUCUUCUCAUGGGCAUUAUCAAUAUUCCCACAGUGGAAUUCUAAAAUAGACGGGGAAGCAUCUGAAUUAUCUUGGGCUGACUAUGAUAUGGUCAACAAGAGUACUUGGCAAAGAAGCAUCUUAAGCAACUUUGUUCACAGUUUUAUGAAUACAGCUAGAAUACUUGCUGCUAAUCAUCCAACAUAAGCCUCUUACUAUUGUUCCUUUUCUUUACAGAGGCUAUGAACUUAUAAUACACAAGAUUUGGUUGGAAGAACCAAUGAUUACAUCUGAGCCAUCCACUUGCAGGAAAUAUGUUGGUUAAGCUGCCUAAACCAUGGACGAUAUCUUUUUAUAUAACAAUGAAUGUUAGCAUAUUAUUUUGGAAGAGUACCAGUUGGUUAAAAAGUAGGUUUGACGAAUGUUUAUAAAUGAUACUGAAGUAAAUGGUGCAGUGAUUUUUGGGCAGUAGAAAAGCAAUAUAGGUGUGCUACAUAUUUCUUAUAUUCUUUUAUAAAGAUGGCAUGCAUUACUCUUUAUUGUAGAUGCCAAAGCCCACUCUCUUUUCAUUGGUAAAAAUAAUUAGAUGAUGUUUCAAAGUAAUUUGAUGUUCACUGAGUAGACAUGGUUGGUCAGCAUGGUUUGUUUCUUUUUUUAUAGUUUUGAACUUGGAGUAAAUUAGUUCAAAUAUACAAUUUGGCACUACAUAGUUCUACUCCCCUAUCUUAAUUACAGUUCUGGUUCUCUGAUCCUCUGCAAUUAGUUAAGCACCAACAAAAUCAGAGAAGCUAACCCUUCUAGCUAAGCUACAGGAUUAAAUUAAGUUCUCUAACCACCCAAUGGCUUAUUACACUGGCACGGUAUGCAUCAUGAUCAUAAACAAAUCGUGGUUGACAUGAUACCUUCCCUUUGUUAUCAGGCUACAGCUUGAAAGUUUAUAAAAGCUUUGGUGUAUUGCAUCAUUCAAAUAUAGUUCACGGCGACCUGAAACCGUAACAUAUCCUUAUGUAGAGUUACAAUAGAUGUGAAAUCAAGGUUAUCGAUCCUAAAAGCAGUUGCUUCUUAACAGACAACUUAAUCCUAAGAUAAUUUUGAUCUGAUGUGCUUUUCUUGUUUCUUCAAGCAGUAAAAUGAAGAUUCAAGUUGAAUUCAGAGCCUCAGAGGUGCAUUCCGAGUUCAUUAUUAUGCCUUUAUAUCUCCCUGAUAUUUCGUGACCUCCUGGCUCUAUUCACCAUCUUACUGUAUUCAUCACAUGAGACUUUGAAUCGGCUCUGAUAUCUAUGCGGGUGAGGUGCUAGCGAGGAGGGUACGAUCCGUAGCUAGAGCCACCGGUAUACAAUUUCGCUUGGUUUUCAUCUAUAUGUACUUUUCCAUGUUCAUGUUUGUGGCUCGAAUUGAUAACAAUUUAUUAGGAGAUUUGGACACAUGAGGAUGUUUGUGAUACCAUUGCUCCAGGGAAGUCUUCCACAUGGAUUUUAUGCUUUGUUUUGUCUUUCCUCAUAUUCUAGCCUAGGUUCUAAGGUUUCAUAUAAUGUAUCUAGGAGUAAUAUCUUAUAUUUAAAAUAAAAAUAAUGCAUGUAGAUGAAAGUUGUGUUAUGGAAUUAGAAUAAUGUCAUUGAAAUUUUUUCUCCAUCCCUAAUUCAACUAUGAUGUAUACAUUAACCAAACUACUACAUUUUUUAUUCUUUUAUUUUGUGCUUAUUUUUUUAAAUCUCCUUGGUUUUAUGGUUCUUAUAUGAGGUAUUGGAUGUGUGCAGAAGGUCACUGCACCACCAUGGUUCUUCUAUGACUAUGAGGUACGUACAUUCCGUAGUAUGACAACCUUUACAAAAAUGUUCAGACAUAACUUAUUAGCGGGUAAUACUUUCUUAUGCUAUUUUCACGUUUCGGGUAGAGACAUUUCCAUGGGUGAUGUUUUUAUUUGUUAAACAUAUACUCUCCCUUUGUGGGUAUAUCUUAUCUAGCUUAUUUUUUAUGUUAAUAUUUUCAUAAGCAUUUAUCUAGAAGUGUGUGGCCAGCCUUUCCAUUGAGGUGCAUGUGCUUUCAGUUUUGUGCUGCAAAAAUUGUUUGAUCCAAGCUAUCUUAUGAAGCAUCUCCCUACCCUACAAAACAGUUACCUUACAAAUAGCCACUUACGUGAGGAAAGAAACAAGGAAUAAUGAUUUUUUCUCAAUAAAAAUUGUUUUAUAUACAUGAAAUUUUCAAUGUAGCUUCAUAUAUGCUACUUACAUAUUAUUACUUAAUAAAAAAAUUGCCAGUGUAUAAAGGAGGUGAACUCUAAACUAUUACUUUCUUGUUGCUUUGCAUUUCGUGUUUUUUUUAGAUUGUUGCAUUUCUUGCAAUCGGUUUAGGAUCAACAUAGCCGUUCUUAUUAUUGAUGCGCUUACACAAUGAAAGUUUGUUGAUUGUCUUAUGCAAAGAUGGCUAACAUGGCUUGAAGUCGAUAGAUUGGAUGCUAGAGAAGGAGACACAUGACGUCCUGCAAAGGUAAAAAGGGACAAAACCAUGUUCCUCCUUGCAGUGUUAGGAAGAGGGGGAAAUACCAAUGUAUAAUGUGGAGCAUUCGAAAAUUAUAGAUUGUAGUGUAUAGUGUGGGGCUAUUUGAACACUAUAAAUGAAAAUCUGUAAGUGAUCCCGCUUGGCUAUUUGAACACUACAAAUAAAAAAAUUGUUAUCGUGC